GACACCUUGGCCGAGUGGUUUAAGGCGCCAGACCUCCAUUAGUGUUGGCUCCGCAGCAAUGCGCCGUCCCUUUGAAGAGUCAGGGUACUGGCAGUGGGCUGGCCUCCUAAUGUGUCCGGUGGGUGGGUUGGCCACUCGCCCGCACGGGUUCGAAUCCCGUAGGUGUCG
rnacentral:tRNA from 1 species